CGAGAGGAGGCGGAACGGUCCGGCCGGCUGGAGGCUGUGGGAGUUGGAGUUGAUAGAGAGCGUUUCCCGGUGCUUCACGUGGCAGAUGCCACAUUUGCAGGCCCAGAAAUGAUGUGAGGCCCUGGCGCAGGUGAAACCUGAGCAGAGCCCCGAAGUUGGAACUUCAGCUUAUUUAAGCUCUAUCAGUUUAUGCCUCACAUAUUUUGAUGCUCCAUUGUUGGGUGCACACACAACAAGGAUUAUCCUGUUUUCUUGGAAUAAAGACCCUAUGAUCACUUGGACUAAUGAGGGACAUAAAAGGCAGCCACUGGUGCAGCCAGCCCAGGCCUGAAGCACCAGCGGAGAGAAGGGCUCAUCAGCAGAAUGUCGAGUCAUCAGAGCUGAGACGAGGGAUGGGACGUCUGGUUGGACCAGAAGCACCCUUUUCCCUCCAGCUGGCUGGAAGACCACACCUCGCUCAGGUAUCUUAGAAGAACCCUUACAUAUCAGUGUGAUAAAAAAGAGAAAACAUCAGAGGAAAGUUCAAGUGUUAUAUUAUUCAGACAACAUAGAGGGACAAGUGGCCCCUACCGCACCAUGGAGACCACACCCAGGUCACUCUUGACUCCCUAAACAUUCUGGUUCAUACAACAUUGUUACCCUACUCUGGAUAAAGAACACAGGCCAGCAAGACUCAAGUCCCCAUUGUUCCUGGUGAAGAUGUUAACCAGGUGACAUCAGGGUAGUGAAGCCACCCAAGGGUGUGUGCAUCACUACCCUGUACACGGCCCAGAGACUCCCGUGUGGCUCUUGUGGUGAACUUGGUCGUUCCUUCCAGGACCGUUUCCACUGAAUGUUUCUCAUUAACUCCAAGGUGUACAGGGAGGACACAAAACAGCAAAAUACUUAGGACUCAGCUUUCUGGAUUGACAUUAAUUUGUAUUGAUUUGGAAGAAAUAGGAGUGGGAUGACUAAGAACCCUCUUGCCUGCCCCCACAACCUUGUAAGAAAAAGGAGAGAAGGGCAGUAAGGGGAAAAAUGCCCAGGAGUCACAGUCCAGCCACAAUGAUUUUCCCAUGGUCGCAGGUAGGAAACCAGGCCAUGCUUUUGUUCACUCCACUCAGGCAACUUGUCUGGCCUCCAACCCACCUGUGAGUCCUUGCCUGGCCGACCUCCCACACUGUGUUUCUGGAUCCUGGGAGCUCAGGGCCUUCUUGCCCUCCAAGGAGACGUUUGAAGUGGGCUCUCAAGUAUUUUGAAAUGUUCCCUACAUUUUCCUUAACCUGGUCACCCUGCUGUGCAACACAGGCUGUCGACACAGGCCAAUAGAACCUAAGCAUCCACUGUUCCUUCUGAAAAGGUUAACCAAGUGACAUCAGUGUGGGGAGGCCACGCAUGGAGCGUGCAACUCUGGCCUGCACACAGCCCAGAGACUCCAGUGUUGCUGUGUGCUUUGCAGUUCCCUCCAGGCCCCCUUCCACCAGGGUGUCUGGAUUUCUGAAACUUGGUUCCCUAUGACCAGCCCCCACCCCCCAUCCCUGCCUAUGUCGCCCACAUCCGUGUCACAGUCAAUGAGGUCAGCUCUUCAGAGGCAACACAUCAGUGGCAGCAUGCUGCAUCUGCCUGCAGGGAUGGGGGUGUUAGCUUUAUGUCUGCAUUCCACACGCACCUGAACUUCACCUUGCACCCCACCCAUGUACACACAGAGAAAGAUACAAUGUCAAUGUCAGUUUAUUGAAAAUCCGCUAAAACUGUAAGACAUGAAAGGAGAAAGCUUGGCCACCCCACCCUGGCUGAUCUGGGCCUCAGGUCUCCAGGCUGGUCACAGGCACCACCUUGUUGCGGCAGCAGAUCUUCUGGGCCAGUGGGAGGCAGAACAUUUUGCAAAAGAAUCUGGCAAUCCUCGUAGUGCACCCCCACCGGCCCUAGACCGCUUCAGUGGUGUCCUCCUUCCAUUACCACUACCUGCUCAGCUGGGAGGGAAUGCUCUUGUCCGGGACUGGCCUGAGCUCCUGCAUCUCCCUAUAGGCCUCCCCUAAGGUAGCUGGUGCUGGGGGAGGGAGAGGACACCGGACCAGGCUGGGGGGCACAAGUGCGACUGGGAAUUGGCAGAGUGGCGGUCUCUGGUGGGAUGUCUUUCACUGCCGUGAGUGACCUCUGGCUGUCUUGCCCAGCCUGGAUCCAGGGGUCUUCCAUCAUCUGGCGGAGGGUGGGCCUCUUGCUGGGUCAGAGUUUAGGAUCUUUUGGAGAAAGGAUUUUAAUUUGGGGGUAGUGAAAGCAGGUGUCAUAUAGGUGGUAUUUAAGACUGACCUUUCCAGUACCUCCGAAUCCCAUCAGAAAAAUGGGAUGAUCCCAGCGGACAUUGUAUAGAGGAUGAUGCCAAGCCUCCAAAUUUCUGCCUCUGGUCCUUUGUAGGGCUGCAGCAGAAAAAUCUCUGGGGCCUAAUACGCAGGGGUGCCACAAAAGCUCAUGAACAUUUCAACUUUGGUGAAGGUUGUGGCUAAGCCAAAUUCAGCUAUUUUCACAUUAUUUUGUGAAUCUAAUUAAAUAUUGUCAAGCUUCAGAUCCCUGUGCAAGAUGCCCUCUUCGUGUAGGUACUCCACGGCUUUCAGUAUCUGCAAGAAUAUGGCUCGGGCCUCCCUCUCCUCCAUCUGGCCAGAUGUAUCUAUUCUGUCAGCCAGGUCACCACCACCUGCAUGUUCCAUGAUUAAGUACACCUGAUCCUUACCCUCUAUGACCUCUAGCAGCUUAAUGAUGUUGGGAUGGUCCAAGCACUUCAUGAUCUCAGGCUCCAAAGACGCACAAGCACGGUGUUUGCUGAUCUUCACCGCCACCUUGGUCCCGGUUGGAAGGUGCCGAGCCAGCUUCACCUUGCCGAAGCUGCCCGGGCCAAGGGUCUUCAAGAACUCAUAGUCCUGGAGGACCUCCUUGUCCAGAGACACAGAGGCCACCCCAGGCGCCAUGGAGAGCCUGACUACUCUAGCACUAUGCUAGAUAAGCUACACUAAAUAAGUAAUCCACAAAAACAACUAAUACUAUCCUAAAAACACUAACAAACUAUACUAACUCGGACACUAAAUAGGCUAACACUACUAAUGAAAGCUAAGUACAAUAAAAAUAAUAGGUGAACUUAUGCUAACAAAACAAAUAACACUACGUUAAGAAUUCUAUCUAUGCUAUGCUAAACUACUCACUGGGAUAACUGCAAGCACUACGAUCAAGGAAACACGGGCUAUCUGAGGUCAAGUCCACAGGUCACCAAAAGAGCUUCCUGGGCUGUAAUGACCAAAGACCCAGGCCCAGACAUGGCCUUAUAUAGGUGUCAGCUUCAGUGGCUCUCUAUGAAGUCAGAGGCAGGGGGAAAUGGACCAAUCAGGGCUGGGGAUAAUAGGGUGGGGUUUUCUAUUCCUUAUAUGGGUGCAAAAACAUUUUCCACUUGAAAGAGAAACAAGUGCUUGUUUACAUGGAUUAUAGAGAUUGAUAUUUGGUUUAUUAGAAAUUAAAACCUGUACAACAUUUCAGUGGGCUUAUCACUUAUAAUUUGAAAAUCUAUGCUAACUUUAGGGUUUUAGAGACCUCAUGUCUAUAUGGGAAGUGUUCAAUGUUUUUUCUUUAAAUUUGGUUUGUGGUGAGAAAGAUACCAUAAAUAGCUGUCGAUACAAUACAGAGGUGUUCUGGCAUGUGUGAUACACAAUAAGUUCCAUUGUUAACAUCAAGGAGCUGUUAGGAAGAUGACUCUCAUCAUUUAUCCACAUGAUCGACAUCAGAUUUGUUACCAAAAACCUUGGAGGCUGGGUAUUGAUGGGUUGAAAUAUUCAAAGUCAUGGGGUGAGGGGGGAAGGUCUGUCUACUGAGAGACCAAUAUCCAACUGAGUGUGCUUCAAAAGAAAAAUACUUUCAAAUCAUACCAGAUAAUAGGUUUACAUAGAAAAUAUUUAGAGAACUAUGUUUACAACAAUAAAACAACCUAAUAAAACAGUGGCCAAAAAACUUGAAUAGAUAUUGCCUCAAAGGUGGUACACAAAUGGCCAACACACUUGUGAAUAGAUGCUUAACAGCACUAAUCAUCAGAGUACUGCAAAGCAGAACCACAAGGAGAAACCACUUUACAGUCCUUAGGAUGGCUACUAUCCAAACAGCAACAGAAGACAAUAAAUGGUGGUGAAGAUCUGGAGAAAGUGGAACACUUGUGCACUGGAGGUGGGAGACCUCAUGUCUAUAUGGGAAGUGUUCAAUUUUGCUUGCUUGAAAUUUGAGUUGCUGUUAGAAAGAUACCAGAAGUAGCUGCCAUCAUGUUACCAUACAGAAGUGUUUUGGGGUGUGUGAUACACAAUAAGGUCCAUUGUUAACGUCUAGUCAGCUGCUAGGAAGAUGCCUCUCAUUUUUCCACAUGAUCGACAUCAGAUUUGUCACCAAAAACCUUGGAGGCUGGAUAUCGAUGGGUUGAAAUAUUCAGCGUCAUGGGGUGGGGGGGAAUGUCUGUCUACCGAGGGUCUGAUAUCCAGCAAACUGUGGUUCAAAAGAAAAUACUUCAGAUCAUACCGGAUAAUAGGUUCACAUGUAGAAUAUUUACAGAACUCCUAUGUUUACAAUAAAACAAAAUAACCUAAUUAAACAGUGGCCAAAGUACUUGAAUAGUUAAUUCUUCAAAGGUGGUACGCAAAUGGCCAACACGCUCAUGAAAAGAUGCUUAAGAUAUUUGUACCAGAAUGUUUAUUGCAGCCCAAUUCAUAAUUACUAAGUCAUGGAAAAAGCCCAAGUGCCCAUCGAUCCCCGAAUGGAUUAAUAAAUUGUGGUAUAUGUACACCAUGGAAUAUUAUGCAGCCUUAAAGAAAGAUGAAGACUUUACCUCUUUCAUGUUUCCAUGGAUGGAGCUAGAACAUAUUUUUCUUAGUAAAGUAUCUCAAGAAUGGAGGAAAAAGUAUCCAAUGUACUCAUCCCUCCUAUGAAACUAAUUUAUGGCUUUCAUAUGAAAGCUAUAACCCAGUUAUAACCUAAGAAUAUGGGGAAGCGGGAGAGGAAGGGGGGGGAUGGGCAGAGGGAGGGUGAUUGGUGGGAUUACACCAGUGGUGUAUCUUACAAGGGUACAUGUGAAACUUAUUUAAUGUACAAUAUAAAUGUCUUAACACAAUAAGAAAAUGCCAGGAAGGCUAUGUUAACCAGUGUGAUGAAAAUGUGUCAAACUUUCUAUAAAACCAGUGUAUGGUGCCCCACAAUCACAUUAAUGUACACAGCUAUGAUUUAAUUUAAAAAAAAGAAAGAGAGAAAGAAAAGAUACUUAACAGCACUAAGCAUCAGAGUACUGCAAAGCAGAACCACAAGGAGAAACCACUUCACACUCCUUAGCAUGGCUACUAUCCAAACAGCAACAGAAGACACUAAGUGUUGGUGAAGAUGUGGAGAAAGUGGAACUCUUGUGCACUGGUGGAGGGAAUGUAAAAUGGUUUAUUUGCCUUACCAGACAUCUUUAUUUCUUUAUCAAGCUUUCAGUUCCUAUCUAGUGUCUUUUCCAUCCAACCAGAAGGACUCCUUGCAUUGUAGGGCAGGGCUGCUGCAGGGAGAGUUGUACAAAUUAAGGAGUUACUGUUUAUUUGGUACAGAGCUUCAGUUUUACAAAAAGAAUUGUACAGAGAACUGGUGAUGACAGUAGCACAAAGUAUGAAUGUCCUUUACACCACUGAACUGUACAUGUAAAAGGAGCAAGGUGGAGAUACUAUGUUGUGUAUUUUUUCAAAAUCAAAAUAAUGUUUUAAAAAUGUUAUUAACGCAUUGAUGGAAAACAAAGGCAAGGAUAUAAGGCAACUGUUAGGAGCAGUAUCCAUUGGUGGAACCACUUUGAGAGAGUUAUUUUGCAAUAAUAACGCAUGCUCAACGGCCUAGAAGACUCACUUUUGGUGAGACACCCAAGAGAAUCUCCUAAGUGUGCCCUUAGAAAGGAAGGUGCCUGGAUGUUCUUAUCAGUCCAUUGAUCUGAGCCCCAGACUGGAAGGAAUGGAAAUGUGUACAGUAGCAUGGGUCAGUCUACUGCCCUAUGUCCAUACAAUGGCAUGAUACAUGGAAAUGUGCAUAGGGACGCGCAAUGUGUGACAGAUGAGGACGCUCGUGAACGAUGUGGAGCCAAGGAGUCCAGAUAUGGAAGCGUUUAACUAUAGCAUCAGGCAACAUUAGGCUUUUUAUGGUAGAAGUCAAGGGAGGGGUUUCCCUAGGGGACAGGCUAGACAUCAGAUGGGUGUCCAGGAGACCUUGGGGGUAUGAUCAUCUGUUUCCUGAUCUGAGUGCUAGUUACAGGGUGUGUUCAAUAUGUGGCAAAAAAAGUAAGUUGUAUAAAAUAAACAAAAAGUGUAAGUUGUAUAUUCUAGUGAAGUAUACUUAAAUUAAAAAUUAUUGUUAAAAUCACCAGAUUUCCUAUCAAGCCUAGAAUGAAAGAGGGACCCUCAGCUUGCCAUCCCUUGUUCACCAAGGGCAAGUUCAAGGUGACCAUGUAGUUCUCCCUUUGGUGCAGGGAGGCUGCCACCGGGCUCUAAGCACUGCAGUGGCAUCAAAGUGAGAGUCGAGGCCAGGACUCCAGCACAAUCCUGGUGAACUACGGCAUGGCCACGUCCAUCUUAGUGCCAGGAUCACCAUUGCUACCUACAUGCUCUUCAAGGUGAGCCAGGGCCCUGCCUCUCCCACACCCGCUUCCCACUUCUUCUUUGAGAUGAAUUAUUCAUUUGCUCUGAAGAAUUCCUAAGAAAACCCCAAUUGUUCAGAAUAGCUUUUGGCAUGCCUCCCUCUGCCUGUGACUUUUUGGCUGACAGCAGGAACUGAUGUAGAGGAGCAGAGUCUCCCGCGCAGAGGACAGUGGGUGCUGAC